rnacentral:rRNA from 1 species
CACGUGGACAACCUACCCUUAGGACGGGGUAUAAACCCGGGAAACUGGGUAUAAUACCCGAUGGUCCUCGGCUGCUGGAAUGCAUCGAGGACUAAAGCUCCGGCGCCUAAGGAUGGGUCUGCGGCCUAUCAGGUAGUAGUGGGUGUAGCGUACCUACUAGCCUACGACGGGUACGGGUUGUGAGAGCAAGAGCCCGGAGAUGGAUUCUGAGACACGAAUCCAGGCCCUACGGGGUGCAGCAGGCGCGAAAAUUUACAAUGCUGGCACAGCGAUAAGGGAACUCGAGUGCCAGGUUAAAAUCUGGCUGUCGUGAUGC